rnacentral:ribozyme from 1 species
UUUACUAGUGGCAGUGGCUGAUCAGUGGCAAUAAUAGUAGUAACAAGCAAUGGUAGUAGAGGUAGAGGGGGGUACCUCAUACCUGAAAUGUUUUAUAACCAAAACAA